AAAGUACUCCCUCCAUCCCAAAAUUCUUGUCUUAGAUUUGUCUACAUACGGAUGUAUCAAGUCACAUUUUAGUAUUAGAUACAUCCGUAUCUAGACAAAUCUAAGACAAAAAAAUUGGGAUAGAGGGAGUAGUUG
rfam:Triticum aestivum genome assembly, contig: Triticum_aestivum_CS42_TGACv1_scaffold_328168_4BS